GAAAUAUGAUCAAGUAAAAGCUGCUAACUUAUUACUUUAACGGUUAAAUCCCGUUUAUAUUUCU
rnacentral:tRNA from 1 species